GACGAACGCUGGCGGCGUGCUUAACACAUGCAAGUCGAACGGAAAGGCCCUGCUUUUGUGGGGUGCUCGAGUGGCGAACGGGUGAGUAACACGUGAGUAACCUGCCCUUGACUUUGGGAUAACUUCAGGAAACUGGGGCUAAUACCGGAUAGGAGCUCCUGCUGCAUGGUGGGGGUUGGAAAGUUUCGGCGGUUGGGGAUGGACUCGCGGCUUAUCAGCUUGUUGGUGGGGUAGUGGCUUACCAAGGCUUUGACGGGUAGCCGGCCUGAGAGGGUGACCGGCCAGAUUGGGACUGGGAUACGGCCCAGAAUCCUACGGGAGGCAGCAGUGGGGAAUAUUGCACGAGGGGCGGAAGCCUGAUGCAGCAACGCCGCGGGCGGGAUGACGGCCUUCGGGUUGUAAACCGCUUUCGCCUGUGACGAAGCGUGAGUGACGGUAAUGGGUAAAGAAGCACCGGCUAACUACGUG
rnacentral:rRNA from 1 species